CGGGGCGUAGCGCAGCCUGGUAGCGCACUUGCAUGGGGUGCAAGGGGUCGAGUGUUCGAAUCACUCCGUCCCGACCW
rnacentral:tRNA from 1 species